rnacentral:misc_RNA from 1 species
AUCCUCUUUCAACUCCAUUUCUAAAUCUGUUAUGUAUUUGCAGUUUUGUAUGCUAACUAACCAGUUGAAGCCAUGGUUUUGAACCGUGGUUGCAGUCACGAGUAACAGAAUCAUAGUUGCCACAUUCUCCUAGCUCCCCUAGGUUCCGCGACCAUUGCGCGUUCUAAAACGCGAGACAUUUGGGUCCCAAAUCGCUUAGGAACGGAUUCUGGAUCUCUAAAUCAAGUGAUCCCAUUUCACUAUGCUCAACACAAAAUCAAAGGGAAGA